rnacentral:lncRNA from 1 species
GGAUAGAGUAAAAAUUUACCCCUUGGGUUGGCAUCCUAUUGAUAUGGGAGAUAUAUUCUUAAUUGUCCUACAGAUUGCAGAAAAGAGCGACAUCACAAAGAUAGCAUCGCUGAUACCCAGUGUCUCCCAAAAAGUCUCUCACUUCCCUUAAGUGAUAUCCCACUCGUCAAACAGUUGUUUUACCCUCUCUGCAGUCGCCUCCACAUCCUGCCUUCAAUUUUCAACUUCUCAAUCCCGUAUCCCCUUGGCGAACGUCCCGAGGCGCUCGUUGGCCGCGAUUCCUCAAAUCCAGAGUUGUUCCAGCCAAAAGAUAGACAAAAGGAAUGUACGCGGGAGACCAAGGUGAUGUAUAAAGCUGGAAUUUCGUGUGCUGAUGGACAUCGAAGCCGAUACACUGGGAAAAAUCACAGAGCCAUCGGAAAGCAUCCGUAAAUGAAAAUAUCUGAAAAUAAGUGCAGCCCUGUGCUCACUGCAGAUUUUGGCCCUGGUCUUCACGAGCCUGGGAUUCGCUAAGAAGCACCUGCGAAUCACAAGAUACCAUGCAAUCUACUGCAAUUGCUUCAAGUUUGUUUUUUAUUACUCAACUGCACUCUGCUCACAAACUUGAACACAUGUGAAGGCAUUGCCAUUCUGAUCCCACCCUUAGUCUGCAUGUUCCGAUCAUUGCUUUUUUCAAUUGCUGGUGUAUAGUCUUGACUGGCCGUCUGUAAUGGAUACAUUUGCAAGUUUUGCUAUUUUCUUGAAGGAUAGCCGAGUUUCACAAGCUCAACCUGUGAUAUCGUUGACUUUUGUGCGUUAAUUUAGUGAAACACAGCUUCAUUUUAGAUCACACACCAAGAGGGGUAUAUGGAGCAUACAAUAGCAUGUGAGUUGUUGCAUUUUGAUGAAACACUUCAAUAUGGCAUGACUUGAAGCAACAGAGCAGAUCCUGGUAUUUGUGGCCACCAGAUUAUAUGCACGUUAUCCAAUCACGAAGCAAAAUAAAAGUUGUAUCAUUCUUUGCUC